rnacentral:rRNA from 1 species
UACGUAGGGGGCAAGCGUUGUCCGGAUUUAUUGGGCGUAAAGAGCGUGUAGGCGGCCAGGCAGGUCCGUUGUGAAAACUCGAGGCUCAACCUCGAGACGUCGAUGGAAACCGUCUGGCUAGAGUCCGGAAGAGGAGAGUAGAAUUCCUGGUGUAGCGGUGAAAUGCGCAGAUAUCAGGAGGAAUACCCGUGGCGAAAGCGGCUCUCUGGGACGGUACUGACGCUGAGACGCGAAAGCGUGGGGAGCAAACAGG